GUGUUUUAAAUAACUUCUGUUUGCGAUCUAAUGUGGAUUUUGUUCACCAUAUAAGACAGAAAUAUUUAUAUUCAAUGUAAAAGAUCUUCAUGUGGAUCAUGCAUACAAAUAUAUGCAAAUAUCUCACUGGAUUAUUACAAUUAAUGGCAAAAUGAAUGUGUGGAAAUGUAAACUAAUAUAUCCCACUGACACACUACAACAAAAGAUAUAAAUAAUUGGCUUAAAACUAUUUUUUUCAAUGUGAAAAUACUAACAUGCCUAAUACUUCUGCACAGUACUGUAUAUAUUAACAUUUUAUUAGUGGUAUUAUAAAAGAAUGAGUAUGCAGUUGUGACAAUCUAUAGAGUUUGUUUAAAGCAAGGUUAUCUGUAGUCAGUGUUUAUAUAAUGUUUAAUAACUUUUAUAUGCAUGUAUAAAUAAACCUAUGUAUGUUUUUGAUUCAACAGCUUCCCCUGGAAAUCCUCAGUGAAGUUAUUUUGUCAGCGGGUGACUGCAUAUUUGACACUGUCUCUUGUUUGCAGAUGGUUUAGGGAUGUGGUCACUCAAGAAGUUUUCCGGAAAGCGGCACACUUUGCCUGGCUAGACAUUGUGGCCAACUGGAAGAAUUGUCCUCCUGUCUACCAGAACGAGUUCAGACGGAUGUACAGCAUCAGGGAAUGCUUGCAGUGCAGAGCCCUUUUCAAGUUUAACCCACCAGGGUACAGGGAAGAGGCCGGCGUGGUGAUCUUCGGGGCUUUUGUUCACAGGAUUUUGUUCCAAGGACUGAAACACAUUUGUGUGCAUAGGCUUCAUUAAAGGGAAAUAGAGAAUGAACUGAGAUCAACUGGUUUAAUGUAUUAAUUGAUGUCAUUUAAAGUUAAACUUUGCAGUCUAUAAUGUUUUAAUAAAAAAGCUAUGGCAAACACGUGCAUGACAACAGGUUACAGUGAUUUACAUCAGUCUAUCAUUCUUUAAGGUUUCUCAUAUUUGAUGGUAACAUCAUUUGCUAUGCAUUGCUCAUAAUGAAUUCUUAAUUUAGUUGUAACAAUUCGGUGUAAUUUUUCAAUUACCAAUGAUUUUAUAAAGUGUU